GAAAAAGUAUGCAAGAACUGCUAACUCAUGCUUCCAUGUGUAAAUACAUGGCUCUUUCA
rnacentral:tRNA from 1 species